rnacentral:tRNA from 1 species
GGUAGUAUGGCCGAUUUAAGCGGUAAUCUGUAAAAUUACACACAGGGUUAAACCCUUACUGCCA